CCACGCUUCUCCAUCCUCCCCCCUCACCUCUAGCCGAAAGCCAUUCAGACCACGACCACGCCUAGCACGCCACGCGUUCCGACCACCGUCAAUCUCUCUCUCUACGAUAUUCCCCAUUCCCUUGCUUGUUGCUCAAAAUGAUGAUAUGGUCAUGGCUGCGAGUCUCACAACAAUUUCAUACAGUAAACCAAGUUGUCGUGGGUGCUAUAUUGGAAUCCAUUUUCUCCAUUUUGUGGUCAUGUUCUUGGGAUGCUGUUGUGCUUCAAGCAUUUAUUUCCUCUUUCUGGAUUCGAACAAUUUUUGUUCUGGGAGCUGCCGAAUUUCACCUAGGCUUUCUUGUAUAUGUGGUUCUCAAUUGGUUUAGGGAUGAGGACCAAUUCUCCAAAUAGUAGAUAUAAUUGCAAGCUAAGCUGCAAGUUUUCUACAACUUUUCUUACUAAACAAACAAGAAGCCGACUGUUGAUGUAAAAUAGUUGUAUAAAUUGUAUAAUGAAGUAGUUGUUUCAUUCUUGAUUAGAGAAUUUCAUAAUAGGCUGGUGUGUAUUGGUAUCAGACAUUUUUUUUUUUUGUUAAUUUAAGUGAAAAAGGGAUUAUUUCAUUGGAUCAGAGAUUGUAUAAUUAUAUCAGUGGAUUUAUGGAACUUGUUUGGGAUUUGGAAAUAAUUUUAAGUGAUAAAUGCAUUUUUUGUCA